UUAGAACAAAUUCAUUAGCUGUUCUAUAUGUUCUAGGGUAAGUUGCAAUGUAGGAAAAGGUAGGAAUGAGUCUCACUUCUUUCAAACACAUUAGGCAGACGUCUGGAAAUAAGGAACAAUGAGGGCGACAAAUUUGAAGCGUCUCAUUUGUGUUAAGUAUCUGAUGAAUGAUUUUCCAUGAAAACUCCUUUACCUUUAAAGAUGCUAACACUUUUC
rnacentral:lncRNA from 1 species